ensembl:lncRNA
ACAAACUGCAGUACCCCCAAAUCGAUUUGCGUUGGGUGGCCUAGUGGUUAGAGUGUAGGGGUGGCAGGUAGUCUAGUGGUUAGAGUGUAGGGGCGGCAGGUAGACUAGUGGUUAGAGUGUAGGGGCGGCAGGUAGACUAGUGGUUAGAGUGUAGGGGCGGCAGGUAGCCUAGUGGUUAGAGUGUAGGGGCGGCCGGUAGUCUAGUGGUUAGAGUGUAGGGGCGGCAGGUAGACUAGUGGUUAGAGUGUAGGGGUGGCAGGUAGACUAGUGGUUAGAGUGUAGGGGCGGCAGGUAGCCUAGUGGUUAGAGUGUAGGGGCGGCAGGUAGCCUAGUGGUUAGUGUUGGACUAGUAACCGGAAGGUUGCAAGAUCGAAUCCCUCGAGCUGACAAGGUAAAAAUCUGUCGUUCUGCCC